rnacentral:rRNA from 1 species
AUAUCAAUCUGAAUAAAAUAUAAAAAAAAGAUAUGUUUUAUUUAAAUGUCUUGACCAAAUAUUGUGCCAGCAGUCGCGGCAAAACAAAUAAGACUAGUGUUAUUCAUCUUAAUUGGGUUUAAAAGUACCUAGACUGUAUAUUUAUCCAGAAAAUAGUGGUAUUAAUAUACUAGAGUUAUAAAUAUAGAGAAGGUUUAUGAACUUUAAAUGUAGAGUUAAAAUUCAUUGACAUGUGUAAAGGACAGGUAAUAAUGAAAAUAUACCUUUAUAUGGUAACUGACGUUGAGGGACGAAGCCUUGGGUCGCGAAUAGGAUUAGAUACCCUAGUAGUCCAAGGAGAAAAUGAUGAGUGUCAUAAACUUGAUUUAAAGUUUAUAAAUGAAAGUGUAAGCAUUCUACCUUAAAAGUAAUAUGGCAACAUAGAAACUGAAAUCAUUAGACCGUCUUUGAAAUCAGUAGUGGGGUAUGUUAUUUAAUUCGAUUAUCCUCGAUAAAUCUUACCAACAACAUGUAUACAAUUAUUAUUUAAUUAUAAAUUAAUAUAAUAUAAUUAAUAAUUAAUUUUCUGAAAAGAAAAUAUACAAGAGCUGCAUGGCUGUCUUCAGUUUUUAUCGUGAGAUUUGGUUAGAUCCAAUUUAUUAACGUAUAACCCGCUCUUUAUUUAUUAUUAAUAAAGAUAAAAAUUGUUAUUAAUUAAUAAUUU